CCUUGACAAUAUUUAGGACCGUUUUCAGCAAAGAAGAAUUCAUAGAAAUGUAUGAGAGACAGAACAGUAACUUAGGAAAGGGACAGAUCAGUAACUUAGGAAAGAAAGAUUUAAGGAUAAAAGUAAUAGCUGUCAAGGUAGAGUAAUGGAGGCCUACACAAAGAUAACAGAAGCUGAAUUAAAGAAGGAUUGUGCACCAGAAAUGGUUGGAGGAGUUUAG